rnacentral:pre_miRNA from 1 species
UUUGUUUGUCCUAAAUCAAACUUGUUCAACUUUGAUCAAAUUAUAGAAAAAUAUAACAACAACUAUACUAUCAAAUAUAUGCACAAUCAAAACAUAUUCCAUGGUGGAUUCAAACCAGCAAAUUUGAUAUUGUAAAUGUUAUUAUAUUUUUCUAUAAACUUGGUCAAAAUUGAACAUGUUUGACUUAGGAUAAACUAAA